rnacentral:tRNA from 5 species
AGAUGAUGAUUGUAAAAGGUUUACACUUUAAUUGCAAAUUAAAAGUUUGAGGUUCGAUUCCUCCAUUAUCUU